rnacentral:rRNA from 1 species
UACACGUCGAUAAUCUGCCCUUAGGUCGGUGAUAGCUACGCGAAAGUGUGGGUAAACACCGACAGACAAUAGGUACUGUAAGGUCCUUUUGUUCAAACUCGUGCCUAAGGAUGAGUCGGCGGCCGAUUAGGUAGUUGGCGGGGUAAAGGCCCACCAAGCCUUUGAUCGGUACGGGCCAUGAAAGUGGUAGCCCGGAGAGGGACACUGAGAUACUGGUCCCAGCCCUACGGGGUGCAGCAGGCGCGAAAACUCUCCAAUGUGCGAAAGCGUGAGAGGGGAAUUCCUAGUGCUCUGGCAUUAGCCAGGGCUUUUGCCAUGUGUAAAUAGCAUGGCGAAUAAGUGGUGGGCAAGACUGGUGCCAGCCGCCGCGGUAACACCAGCGCCACGAGUGGCGUUCACGAUUAUUGGGCCUAAAGCGUCCGUAGUCGGCUCUGUGCAUCUUCUGUGAAAUCGUUGCGCUCAACGUAACGGCAUGCGGAAGACACGGCAGAGCUUGAGACCGGGAGGCGUAGAGGGUACUCCGGGGGGACCGGUAAAAUGGUAUAAUCCCCGGAAGACCACCUGUGGCGAAGGCGCUCUACGAAUACGGAUCUGACGAUGAGGGACGAAAGCCAGGGGAGCAAACCGGAUUAGAUACCCGAGUAGUCCUGGCCGUAAACGCUGUCAGCUAGGUGUUGCAUAGACUUGUGUCUAUGCAGUAUCGGCGCGAAGGUAUUAAGCUGACCGCCUGGAAGUUCGUCG